UACGUAGGGUGCUAGCGUUGUUCGGAAUCAUUGGGCGUAAAGCGCGUGUAGGUUGCUAUGUAAGUCGAAUGUGAAAUCCCUGGGCUCAACCGAGGAAGUGCAUUCGAAACUACAUAGCUCGAGAACGGUAGAGGAAGGUGGAAUUCCAAGUGUAGAGGUGAAAUUCGUAGAUAUUUGGAGGAAUACCGGUGGCGAAGGCGGCCUUCUGGGCCGGUUCUGACACUGAGACGCGAAAGCGUGGGGAGCGAACAGG
rnacentral:rRNA from 1 species